rnacentral:rRNA from 1 species
CCAUGACGCUCUAGAGAUAGAGUCUUCCCCUUCGGGGGACAAAGUGACAGGUGGUGCAUGGUUGUCGUCAGCUCGUGUCGUGAGAUGUUGGGUUAAGUCCCGCAACGAGCGCAACCCUUAAGCUUAGUUGCCAGCAUUAAGUUGGGCACUCUAAGUUGACUGCCGGUGACAAACCGGAGGAAGGUGGGGAUGACGUCAAAUCAUCAUGCCCCUUAUGAUUUGGGCUACACACGUGCUACAAUGGACAGUACAAAGGGCAGCGAAACCGCGAGGUCAAGCAAAUCCCAUAAAGUUGUUCUCAGUUCGGAUUGUAGUCUGCAACUCGACUACAUGAAGCUGGAAUCGCUAGUAAUCGUAGAUCAGCAUGCUACGGUGAAUACGUUCCCGGGUCUUGUACACACCAAGAGGCGAAA